rnacentral:rRNA from 1 species
CACGUAGGGCGCAAGCGUUGUCCGGAAUUAUUGGGCGUAGAGAGCUCGUAGGUGGUUUGUUACGUCUGCUGUGAAAACCUAGGGCUUAACCCUGGGCUUGCAGUGGAUACGGGCAGACUAGAGGUAGGUAGGGGAGAAUGGAAUUCCUGGUGUAGCGGUGAAAUGCGCAGAUAUCAGGAGGAACACCGGUGGCGAAGGCAGGUGGCUACGAUUUAUUUGACACUGAGGCACGAAAGCAUGGGGAGCAAACAGG